GCCGGGAUGACGGAGUAGUCAAUCGUAACAGUCUGUAAAACUGUCGCCCGUUCGGGCUACAUAGGUGCGAAUCCUAUUCCCGGCA
rnacentral:tRNA from 1 species